rnacentral:tRNA from 1 species
GCGCUCGUAGCUCAGCGGAUAGAGCGAUGGUUUCCGGUACCACAGGUCGGGGGUUCAAGUCCUCUCGAGCGCG